ensembl:lncRNA
UGAAAUCCAUCAGACCUUGAACCUGCAGGCCGACAGAAAAUCAGCGACAGAAGGACACUUUCUGAACAUAUGCACUGCAAAUCACACUGCUAGAAUUUGGGGCUCUGGGAACAAAAGAUACAUCACUGUGAACGUUUCUCACCUCCACACUAGCUCUAACUGGCUGUACUUUCCAACGUGUGCUACAGCCACAAAUAUUCGCCACCUCCUCUCAGCUAGCGGGAGGUCCCUCUUUCUUUCUGUCUCUCAUGAAGUUGUGAACUGUGCUCCCAACUGCUAAAUCGACACCAUUGAUCCCUUCAUUUCCUCCUCCUCUUUUCUCGUCAUCACAUUGGCCGUACGACAGGGAAGUUCGAGCACUUGUUCACGUGGCGCUUCGGGACAGCGGCCAGCACAUGGCCUACAGCAGGAGCCUGAGGCUACGUGAGAGCAGGUCAGUGGUGCUUUUAGCACUGCAAGAUCCCUCAAUCUUUGCUAAUAUCGCCAUACAUCAGCAUGAAAGAACAACCAGACAUUACGUUCAUUUAAAAAAAAUAAUAAAAAAAAUAAAAUAAAAUAAAAAAGAAAAGAAAAGAAAAUUCCGGGGCUAGCAGCAUGAAAC